rnacentral:rRNA from 1 species
GCAUUAAAUCUCUCUGAAGGGGCCUGCCCACUAACUCGACAACCCACGAAAAACCUCACCAAUUCUAGAUUACACAGUCUGUAUACCCUCGUCACCAGCCCACACUGCAAAGUCUAAGGCCUAAUGAAUAAAAACUCUCUACGCCAGAUCAAGGUGCAGCUUAUGAAUUGGGAAAAAGGUAGGCCACAAUAUUUCUACAAAUUAUAAAAAUCUAAUUAUCAACAAGCAUUAUGAAAAAAAGCCAUAGAACAGAAUCCAGUAGUAGUACUCUUAAAGAAAAAAAGUACGAAACAAGCCAUAAUACGCGC